AAUCGCGCAAAUCGCGAGCUCCGACCAUCACCGGCCAUGGCGCCGCCGCGGCCUGCCCAACUCUGGCCGGCCAGCUUCUUUUCCCUCUCCCUGAUCUAAUCUCAACCAUCCAAGUGCGAUCCAACGGUCUAUAUCAAAGGAUACCCUUCGGCCGCACUUUUUGCAAAAGGGCCCCCCGGGUUUUUAAAUAUGUAACCCGCGAUCCAAAACGUUUUCUCUGUUUACGCUUUCUGUCUUUGAAAACGUAAAUCCCGAAGGUUUGAUUAAAAAUACGUUUUCAGCAAAUUACCAAAUUGCCACUAGAUUUGUUUUACUCAUAAAAUAUUCAUCUUAAUUCCGUUUUGACUCGUUCAAAUUGCGUUAGAUUCGUAAUCACAAGAUCUACGUGUUAGUAACACUGUUUUCUCAGUUUGAAACUU
rnacentral:lncRNA from 1 species